rnacentral:tRNA from 2 species
GUCAGUAUGGCCGAGUGGUUAAGGCGCCAGAUUUGAAAUCUGUUACGAGUAUUCGUGCGUAGGUUCAAAUCCUGCUGCUGACG